UGCUGUCCCACGUCCCCAUCUCUGUGGCCAGCUCCGCCCACUCAGCCUCAGCCUUGCUGGGGCCUGGCCCGACCUCAGGAGUCCCUGCUGGCCUGGCCACCCUUGCGCCUUCGCCUCAGCCAUUGGGGAGGCUGGGGUGGUCUCAGGGCUAACGCCAGGUGAGACCUCAGGGGAGGUCAGGGGCUUCGGAACAAAAACGGCACCCCCAUACCUGAUGGGGCUCCUCUGAGCCCACCUGGACUGACCCCUUGUGGCCGCCAGGCGCAGCUGGUGGCCUGAAUGUGGGGGCAGCAUCACCCCUGAGUCCAGAGAGCCAGAGCACAGCGGGAUCCAGGAAGGCCCCAGGUACAGACAUUGCCUGGCUUCCUCCACGCCCCGAGAUCCAGCUGCGUCUCCUCUGUCCCGGGGAAACUUAUGGGCGAAAGCCCCUCUGCAAGGCCCACUACCCAAAGCCAGCCACAGGUGCUCAGGCCAGGGCUCAGGGGCUGUGGGGCUCAGGGGCCGUGGGGGCUGGUGGCCCCAGCCCUUCCGGAUCCACUCCCCACCCCUCACUCACUCCAUGGGGACCUUCAUCUGCCUAGAUGGGCUGGUCUGUGCUCUGAUGGCCCCAGGACUGGGUGUCGGCCUCACCCCAGCGCCCAGGCAGCCUCCCGGCCAGAGCAGAAUGUUGGAAGGGCAUGGCCCAUGGCUCCCGGCCAGGGCCCACCUGUGUUUGUCUCCUCACCCCGGCCUCCUCCAGCCUCAGGCCCUGCCUGUCAGACAGAGCAUCUGCCCAGGGGGUCCUCAGAGAGCAGUUGCUACCUGCAGAGUGAGUCCCCAGAGCCCCUGCCACAGGCACCCCAGCCUCAGGUCAGGUCUGGAAUGGACACAGCCCCCAGACCAAGACCAGGACCUCCUCACACUGGGAUCCCCUCCCUUGGUGUCGGGUGCCACCCAAACUCCCUGGACGUCUCCCCUCUGCCCUCCACGCCCUGCAUCCUGGGUAGGAGCCGCCUUCACACCUGCUAACCCCUGCCCUCCAGCCCCCACUGCCUUUCCGGUAACGGGGCUGUGUCUGGCCUAAGCCCUGGGCCUCCAUACGGCCCCUGUCCAGCACACCUUGCUCAACCCCAGCGUCCUGCAUCACGCCUGCCUCUUAGUGUUUGGGGUGUGCAUGUGUAUUUAUACACUGUAAUUACAUAAAUACAAUUUAAUAAUC
rnacentral:lncRNA from 1 species